rnacentral:rRNA from 1 species
CCUACGGGCGACAGCAGUAGGGAAUAUUGCUCAAUGGGGGAAACCCUGAAGCAGCAACGCCGCGUGGAGGAUGAAGGUUUUAGGAUUGUAAACUCCUUUUGUUAGAGAAGAUAAUGACGGUAUCUAACGAAUAAGCACCGGCUAACUCCGUGCCAGCAGCAGCGGUAAUACGGAGGGUGCCAGCGUUACUCGGAAUCACUGGGCGUAAAGAGCGCGUAGGCGGGAUAGCAAGUCAGAUGUGAAAUCCUAUGGCUUAACCAUAGAACUGCAGUUGAAACUGUUAUUCUAGAGUAUGGGAGAGGUAGGUGGAAUUCUUGGUGUAGGGGUAAAAUCCGUAGAGAUCAAGAGGAAUACUCAUUGCGAAGGCGACCUGCUAGAACAUAACUGACGCUGAUGCGCGAAAGCGUGGGUAGCAAACAGGAUUAGAUACCCUUGUAGUC